AGAAGCCAUGGUUUAAUUGCUGCCCAUCAAAUAGUACUGUGUCUUGCAUGUGUAAAUUAGAUUCAUUUUGAGGAAAUAGCUGGUGUGCAGUGCACAUUCCUAAAUGAAUUCAUCAGUUUACAUUAAGGAUCUACCUUCAAAUCCUGUAAUCUGGGAUGCUCUAAAGUGCAUGUCACAGACUAAAGUUAUAAAAAUAACUUCCAAGAAUUUUUAAGAAAUUGUUAUAUACAUGUAUACUGAUAUUGAAUUAAAUUUUAUAAAAUUUCA